rnacentral:rRNA from 1 species
UGGAGAAUCUUGCGCAAUGGGCGAAAGCCUGACGCAGCCACGCCGCGUGAGGGAAGAAGGCCUUCGGGUUGUAAACCUCUUUCAGCAGGGAAGAAGCCCUUCGGGUGACGGUACCUGCAGAAGAAGCCCCGGCCAACUACGUGCCAGCAGCCGCGGUAAUACGUAGGGGGCGAGCGUUGUCCGGAAUCAUUGGGCGUAAAGGGCACGUAGGCGGCCCCGUAAGUCGGAUGUGAAAGCCCGGAGCUCAACUCCGGAAUUGCAUUCGAUACUGCAGGGCUUGAGGAAGGUAGAGGAGAGUGGAAUUCCCGGUGUAGCGGUGGAAUGCGCAGAUAUCGGGAGGAACACCAGCGGCGAAGGCGGCUCUCUGGGCCUUUCCUGACGCUGAGGUGCGAAAGCGUGGGGAGCGAACAGGAUUAGAUACCCCCGUAGUCC